rnacentral:misc_RNA from 1 species
CAAGGCGUAUUCCCCAAGGGCCUUGAUGGAUGCGUCGCCUACGUCGGCUCCGUAGGUGGUGAGCAGGGCACCGUAGUGGAUGGCGCGGAAGCGGGCGCGAUUCCAGGUUGCGUCAUCGAUGGGGCCGUAUGUCUGCCUGAA